rnacentral:lncRNA from 1 species
CCAUUUAAGGGAAAGUGGGUCGAAGGGCUUCCCCAGGGAAAGAAAUUGAGCUCUGGAGCCAAAUGCAGAAGAGGAAGAGAUUUCAUGCCCACUAUUAUUCUCAUCCUCCUAAAUAAGAGAAUUCAUUGUUUGGCAGAAUAAUGGUUAAGAAAGGUGGGGAUGCGCACAGGUAGCCCCAUCCCUGAGACCUUAUCUAAUUCCCUAGUGUGGCUCAGGCCAUCCUCCAGGCUGGGUGGGGGUGGGGUGGGGUAGGGGUGUUGGGAACUCUCUCUAGCCAUGGGUAAUACAGCCAGAACUGCAUGCAUUCUCACGCCCCAGAACUGGCGUCCCAGCCCAAGUGCGAAGUUGGGCGUUCCGACCUGAAAAGCAGAGUAAGAGCCAUUCAAAGCAGCAAGUUACUGUACCUUGAGAAGUCUGACAGAUGGGAGAAAGGCUGCGUGGCAUAGCUUCCGGAUGGUCCAAUUUAGGGGUCGAGAAGCAUCAGUCUGAUUCAUGACCCCUUCCAAAUUCCACCGGGAAGACAAGAAACUGCAAAUCUGGGCAGUGCCUAGAAAAUAAACGGUCCCCCACGGCCCUGGCAUCCCAUGGUCAUCUCCACACCUGCAAAUUCCAUUAGGGCAGAGGCUUCCUGGAACUUGGGAGUCUAGUCAAGUGGCGUUUCCUGAGCCCCUGAACCUUCUUAAGAAAGCCACCUCCCCUCUCCCUGCAGCCGUGCUCAUGCAUACCAAAUGUGGCCGAAUGGAGGCACGCUGCCUGCUGCUUCGGGGAGGGGAUGCUUGAUUUCGAAGGAGAGGGACAGCCUGCACAAAACAGCCUGUGGUCGGAGUCAGAGGAGCCUGCUCCAGAAUGCGCGCUCCCUCUCCUGCUCUCCUCCUGCAAACACAGUGGGGAGAAGGGCAUUUUGAAGUGUUGACAACUGGGAUGUCAGGCACGGUGUUGGGCACUUUUCAUCAUGUGUGUUGCACUGAAAAAUUAAAAGAUAUGCAAACAUCUUGUAUCUCACUAAAAAUC